GCCACACAUAAACGAGACGUGUACGAUACGAGCGCGAGACGAGUGCCGGCACGAGCUCCGUCCCUUGACGUCCCAGUCACACUGUAACGUAGACCCGUUGCGAGCGAUAGUAUACCUAACCUAGUUUGAGGGUUCAGUGAUGUUUUCAAAUUUUACUAGUACUGAAUUGGCUAUAAUAGCCUUGGCGCUAGAUGAAGAGGAUAAUUAUAAAACUCAAUCAAAGAAGAAAGUAUGGGUCCAUAAUGCCUGGAAAAGUAGGGAUACAGAAGGGGAAUUUAUAACACUGUAUCCACAUUUACUAGACGAUGAAACAAAGUUCUACGAAUAUUUUAGGAUGACACAGGCAACGUUUCAAGAUCUAUUAGGAAAAGUAGAAAAUCAGUUAAAAAAACAAGAUACAUUUUGGAGAUCUGCAAUUGAACCUAAACAGCGGUUAGCAGUUUGCUUGAGAUUCCUAGCAACCGGGGAUUCUUUCAAAACAAUAUCUUUCAGCUUUAGAUUGGGUCGAUCAACUGUGCAAUCCAUCAUUCAUCAUACAUGCCGAAUAAUUGUUGACAUUCUUUUAGAGGAGGUUAUGCCGGUGCCUAAUGAAGAUACAUGGAAUACAAUUGCAGAUUACUUUUGGAAAAUGUGGCAAUUUCCUAACUGCAUCGGAGCUUUGGAUGGCAAGCAUUGUGUAAUACAAGCUCCUAAAAAUAGCGGCAGUCUUUAUUGGAAUUACAAAAGACGUUUUCUUUGGUUCUUUUAGCUCUAGUAGAUGCACAGUAUAAUUUUAUUGCAGUAGAUGUCGGGGCUUAUGGCAAAAAUUCUGAUGCAGGCAUACUUUCCAACUCAAACCUUGGGACGUCUUUAGAAAAUGGAUCAAUAAAUAUACCAAGAGGCAAGAAGCUUCCAGGUUCUGAUGUUGACCUACCCAUGAUAAUUGUUGGUGAUGAAGGCUUUCCUUUGAAAACCUAUUUAAUGCGACCUUAUCCAGGAGCAAACUUGGAUAAUGAAAAAAAAAUCUUCAAUUAUCGCCUUUCUCGUGCAAGGAGAGUUUCAGAAAAUGCUUUUGGAAUUCUUCAACAAAAGUUUCGUAUAUAUACAAGAAGAUUACAGGGUGUAACGUCUAAAAUCGGCGUGCGCGCGGAAAAUUGGAGGGAGAAAGUAGAUUGGGAAAGAGGCGGUUGCGUCAAGCAAAAAGGAAAAAGAGUGUGUUUGUAGCGGAGAUUAAAGAAAGGCGUUUAAGAGAAAUUGCGAAUCGACUGGGGCCCGAGAAUUGCAUUAGAAGAAAUAAUAAUUGUUGUAUUGGCCGUCCAAAAAUUUAACAACGGACCAAGUUAACGCGAGCCGUUUUCCAUCUAUAGGCUUUCUCUACCCCAAUGUGCAUAGAAGGUAGAAUGUAGAUAGAUUUGAAGUAAAUCCGAAGCACGGAGAGUGAAUACCGAGUCCUUUCGAUAUCGAACUAAUCAGCAUCGUUGUCAGCAUUCAGCGACCUCCAAAUUUAAUCAAGAGCCUGCUCCGCCAGCUCGGCUGUACACAAUUCCUUUCCGGAAAACCCACAAACAGAUAAGAAAGAACGCCGUGUUCAUAAUUGUUUGUACCUGAGUUAUCACCCAAUUAACCAUCAUUCACCUCAUUUCAUUCACCAUUAGUACAGCAUAAUUCUAACCACCAUCAAUCGUAACUUUGUGAUAUAAAUUAAUUAAGUGUUAGGUUAACUUUAUAAUCAAUAAUACGUGUCGAUUUAUCUGUCGGUUGGCAUGUGAGUUAAAGACAGAUUGGCGCCCAAAAAGUAUAUAAUAAAAUUAAAUGAAAUUGUAAAUAUUUGUAUCCACGACCCCGCCACCCCCAGGAACUGA